GAUGAACGCUAGCUACAGGCUUAACACAUGCAAGUCGAGGGACCGGCGCACGGGUGAGUAACACGUAUCCAAUCUGCUCUUUACUCGGGGAUAGCCUUUCGAAAGAAAGAUUAAUACCCGAUGUAAAGGAUGGGGAUGCGUUCCAUUAGGUUGUUGGUGAGGUAACGGCUCACCAAGCCUUCGAUGGAUAGGGGUUGUGAGAGGAAGGUCCCCGGCAAUGGAACUGGGACCCGGUCCAAACUCGUACGAGAGGCAGGAGUGAGUAAGAUAUGGCAAUGAGCGUUAGCCUGAACCAGCCAAGUAGCGUGAAGGAUGAAGGCUUAUAGAUCGUAAUCUACUUUUAUAUAAGAAUAUGUAUUAGAUGAAUAAGGAUCGGCUAACUCCGUGCCAGCAGCCGCGGUAAUAC
rnacentral:rRNA from 1 species